GUCGUAACAAGGUUUCCGUAGGUGAACCUGCGGAAGGAUCAUUAACGAGUUAUUGAACGGGUUGUAGCUGGCCUCUUUCUUCCGAGAGAGGUAAAUGUGCACGCCUGGCUCAUCCACUCUUCAACCUCUGUGCACUUGUUGUAGGUCGGCGGCAGAGCGAGUCCUUUAUGUUAUCUAAAUCGAUAAUAUAUAUAUUAGACUCUGCUUGAAAGUCUUCCUAUGUCUUUCACAAACGCUUCAGUUUAAGAAUGUAAUCUCUGCGUGUAACGCAUCUAUAUACAACUUUCAGCAACGGAUCUCUUGGCUCUCGCAUCGAUGAAGAACGCAGCGAAAUGCGAUAAGUAAUGUGAAUUGCANAAUUCAGUGAAUCAUCGAAUCUUUGAACGCACCUUGCGCUCUCUGGUAUUCCGGAGAGCAUGCCUGUUUGAGUGUCAUGGUAUUCUCAACCUUCAAUAACUUUUGUGUUGUCGAAGGCUUGGAUUUGGAGGCUUGUGCUGGCUUUUUUUUUUCACUAAGCCGGCUCCUCUGAAAUGCAUUAGCGUGAGUGUAACGGAUCGCCUCGGUGUGAUAAUUAUCUGCGCCGUGGUCGUUGAAGUAACAUAAGCUCGUGCUUCUAACUGUCCU
rnacentral:rRNA from 1 species